ACUAAACCCAAGAUACCAUUUUUAUUCACGCUUUCCCCUCCCUCAGUUAGAGAGAGAGAGAGAGAGAGAGCCAAAAAAAAAAAAAACUGUUUUUGAACCCAUUUUCCCAUUCUCCAGGCAAAAAUGGCUGCAACCCAUUUUUCUCUGCCCCUUUUGCUUCUCCUUAGAUUUGUUCUCGUUGUGGAAUCUGGUAUUGGAGUGAACUGGGGGAGUCUGUCCACUCACAGGCUGCCACCUCCCAUUGUUGUGGAUCUGCUGAGAGAGAACAAGAUUGAGAAGGUGAAGCUGUUUGAUUCUGACCCAGAUGCGCUCAGAGCUUUGAUGGGUAGUGGGAUUCAAGUUAUGAUUGGGAUUCCUAAUGAGAUGCUUGGGGUUUUGAGCGCCUCUGCUGCUGCUGCUGAUUUGUUUGUUAGCCAGAAUGUGUCUAGAUAUUUGAUUAAAGGUGGUGCUGAUAUUAGGUAUAUUGCUGUCGGAAAUGAGCCCUUCCUCACAAGCUACCAGGGUCAGUUUCAGUCCCUAGUCCUUCCUGCAAUGGCCAAUGUUCAGCAAUCACUUGUGAAAGCAAACCUCGCAAGCUAUGUAAAGCUCGUAGUCCCUUGUAAUGCUGAUGCUUAUGAAUCCUCCCUUCCUUCUCAAGGAACGUUCAGGCCCGAAUUAACCCAAAUCAUGACGCAGCUCCUUUCCUUUCUCAACUCAAAUGGAGCUCCAUUCGUAGUCAAUAUCUACCCUUUUCUUAGCCUCUACGGUAACACAGAGUUCCCCCAAGAUUACGCUUUUUUUGAUGGUUCUUCUCAUCCCGUCACAGAUGGCCAGAAUAUAUACUACAAUGCUUUUGAUGGAAAUUACGAUACCUUAGUUGCUGCCCUCAAUAAGAUUGGCUAUGGCCAAAUGCCCAUCGUUAUAGGUGAAGUCGGUUGGCCUACUGACGGUGCAACGAGUGCAAAUCUUAGCGCAGCGAGAGCCUUUAACCAAGGUCUCAUCAGUCAUGUUCUUAGUAACAAAGGGACACCUCUAAGACCUGGGGUUCCUCCUGCAGAUAUAUAUCUCUUCAGUUUAUUCGAUGAAGGCCAAAAGAGUGUGCUUCCCGGGAAUUUUGAGAGGCACUGGGGGAUUUUCUCCUUCGACGGACAAGCAAAGUACCCUUUAAACCUCGGUUUGGGAAGCGGGGGACUAAGGAACGCUAGAGAAGUUCGAUAUCUACCACCUAGAUGGUGUGUCGCUAAUCCAUCUAAGAAUCUCGAUGGGGUCUCAAAUCAUAUGAAACUGGCUUGCAGCGUCGCAGAUUGUACAACCCUCAGCUACGGAGGAUCGUGUAAUGAAAUUGGAGAGAAGGGUAAUAUUUCGUAUGCCUUCAAUAGUUACUACCAGUUACAGAAGCAGGAUCCGAGGAGUUGUGAUUUCGAUGGGCUUGGAAUGGUGACUUUCCUCGAUCCUUCGGUUGGUGAUUGCCGUUUUUUGGUUGGAGUCAAUGAUAUUAAGUCUUCUUCUUCUUGCCUUAGUCGUGGGAUUUUCGGUGGGAUUUGGGUUACGAUAGUGUGGGUGUUAGUAUAUCUAAGAGUGCUUAAUACUUCAUGAAGAAUGAUUUCUGAGGAUCACUUCUUCGUAGUAGGGAAUGAACUCUCGAAAAAGUUCAACAGAUUUACUGUUACUUGACGUAGAAAUUUUAUUAGUCGAUGCUUAAAGUUCAACAGAUUUGGUCAAUUCACAGAUUAUGAUCCUGCAGAAGUGUGCCUGAGCUUUUUUGGUCUCUUGCGAUGUUGAGUGAAUUUUGUGAAGGGGGCCUUUCCUCAGACUACCUGCCUGAUUGUAGUAAAUGAGACCGAGAAGAUAAUUCUGAUGCCUUGUGCUCUCCUUUUUGUUAUGGUGGUCGAGCUUAAGGUGCGAUUACAUUGCAAAGCAUGUGAGAAAUCAGUGAGGAAGACGCUAUCCAAUCUAAAAGACACGGAUGGCUCGAUAAAAUUUCUUUACAGGGGUCACAUGUGUCGAAAUAGAUGUCGUAUCGAGCAAACUCACAGUUUUGGGCUAUAUCGAUCAGAACACGGUCGUUAAAGCAGUACGCAAAACUGGCAGAAUUGCAUCAGACUGGUCAUAUCAUCGUCAUACUGCUCGCAAUGGUAACUUCAUAUGCUCUGGCUGUGAAUCUGGAAGAAGAGUUACAGUAUCAGGCGCGACACAAGAGCACAGCGAAGAAACUAAAGCUCCAAUAAUGAAGAAAAGUUUCUUGAAGCGAAAGUCUUAUUUCUCGCAUAGAUUCCUUAUGGCCGUGUGCUUAAAGGGGAAAUAGUCAGAUUGUUCCAAUUUCCAAUAUUUACCCCUAUAGGGAUAAGUUGUAUUGAUCAUACUUUUCUACGAAGGGUGAACUACUGUAAAUGCCCGAAUCAAUAAGAUUGUUGUUAAAAUUAA